UACGUAGGGGGCAAGCGUUAUCCGGAUUUACUGGGUGUAAAGGGAGCGUAGACGGCACGGCAAGCCAGAUGUGAAAGCCCAGGGCUCAACCCUGGGACUGCAUUUGGAACUGCUGAGCUAGAGUGUCGGAGAGGCAAGUGGAAUUCCUAGUGUAGCGGUGAAAUGCGUAGAUAUUAGGAGGAACACCAGUGGCGAAGGCGGCUUGCUGGACGAUGACUGACGUUGAGGCUCGAAAGCGUGGGGAGCAAACAGG
rnacentral:rRNA from 1 species